CCGUGCUAGAUGGGGAGUCAGCGGUGCCCUGUAACUUGCAAUCCGCUUUAGCAAGAUUGAUGUUAAUGGACGGCUUUUGCUGAAUUGAUAGGAAAAAUCAAGUGGUAAUGAAGUUUCAAUCUAUUGCAAUGGUCCGGUUAUAAACUCCGUCAGGCCCGGAAGGGAGCAGCGGUAAGUAAUUCUAAUCAUGUGCUGAUAGAACCUGAGAUGGAGCAAACUAAUUUUCACCUUUCUUUGACCAGAGAAGUCAACUAUUAAUGCGCGG
rnacentral:SRP_RNA from 1 species